AGGACGAACGCUGGCGGCGCGCUUAACGACAUGCAAGUCGAGCGAGAACCAGGCCUUCGGGCCUGGGGAAAGCGGCGAACGGGUGAGUAACACGUGGGUAACCCACCCUUGGUACCGGGAUAGCCCGAGGAAACUCGGAUUAAUACCGGAUGGCCCAACAGCUCUUCGGGGCGGUUGGAAAAGGUAGCUUCGGCCUCCGACCAAGGACGGGCCCGCGGCGGAUUAGCUUGUUGGUGAGGUAACGGCUCACCAAGGCGACGAUCCGUAGCUGGUCUGAGAGGACGAUCAGCCACACUGGGACUGAGACACGGCCCAGACUCCUACGGGAGGCAGCAGUGGGGAAUCUUGCGCAAUGGGCGAAAGCCUGACGCAGCGACGCCGCGUGGGGGAAGAAGGCUUUCGGGUUGUAAACCCCGUUUCAGGAAGGACGAAGCCACUCGGGUUAAUAGCCCAGAGGGUGACGGUACUUCCAGAAGAGCCCCGGCUAACACGUGCCAGCAGCCGC
rnacentral:rRNA from 1 species